rnacentral:rRNA from 2 species
AACGGCGGCCGUAACUAUAACGGUCCUAAGGUAGCGAAAUUCCUUGUCGGGUAAGUUCCGACCUGCACGAAUGGCGUAACGAUGGCGGCGCUGUCUCCACCCGAGACUCAGUGAAAUUGAAAUCGCUGUGAAGAUGCAGUGUAUCCGCGGCUAGACGGAAAGACCCCGUGAACCUUUACUAUAGCUUUGCACUGGACUUUGAAUUUGCUUGUGUAGGAUAGGUGGGAGGCUUUGAAGCGUGGACGCCAGUCUGCGUGGAGCCAUCCUUGAAAUACCACCCUGGCAACUUUGAGGUUCUAACUCAGGUCCGUUAUCCGGAUCGAGGACAGUGUAUGGUGGGUAGUUUGACUGGGGCGGUCUCCUCCUAAAGAGUAACGGAGGAGUACGAAGGUGCGCUCAGACCGGUCGGAAAUCGGUCGUAGAGUAUAAAGGCAAAAGCGCGCUUGACUGCGAGACAGACACGUCGAGCAGGUACGAAAGUAGGUCUUAGUGAUCCGGUGGUUCUGUAUGGAAGGGCCAUCGCUCAACGGAUAAAAGGUACUCCGGGGAUAACAGGCUGAUACCGCCCAAGAGUUCAUAUCGACGGCGGUGUUUGGCACCUCGAUGUCGGCUCAUCACAUCCUGGGGCUGAAGCCGGUCCCAAGGGUAUGGCUGUUCGCCAUUUAAAGUGGUACGCGAGCUGGGUUUAGAACGUCGUGAGACAGUUCGGUCCCUAUCUGCCGUGGACGUUUGAGAUUUGAGAGGGGCUGCUCCUAGUACGAGAGGACCGGAGUGGACGAACCUCUGGUGUUCCGGUUGUCACGCCAGUGGCAUUGCCGGGUAGCUAUGUUCGGAAUAGAUAACCGCUGAAAGCAUCUAAGCGGGAAACUAGCCUCAAGAUGAGAUCUCACUGGAACCUUGAGUUCCCUGAAGGGCCGUCGAAGACUACGACGUUGAUAGGUUGGGUGUGUAAGCGCUGUGAGGCGUUGAGCUAACCAAUACUAAUUGCCCGUGAGGCUUGACCAU